UACGUAGGUGGCAAGCGUUGUCCGGAAUUAUUGGGCGUAAAGCGCGCGCAGGCGGUUAUGUAAGUCUGGUGUUAAAGCCCGAGGCUCAACCUCGGUUCGCAUUGGAAACUGUGUAACUUGAGUGCAGAAGAGGAAAGUGGUAUUCCACGUGUAGCGGUGAAAUGCGUAGAGAUGUGGAGGAACACCAGUGGCGAAGGCGACUUUCUGGUCUGUAACUGACGCUGAGGCGCGAAAGCGUGGGGAGCAAACAGG
rnacentral:rRNA from 1 species